CCUACGGGAGACAGCAGUGAGGAAUAUUGGUCAAUGGGCGGAAGCCUGAACCAGCCAAGUCGCGUGCAGGAUGACGGCCCUACGGGUUGUAAACUGCUUUUAUACGGGAAUAACGCGCCUUACGUGUAGGGCUUUGCAUGUACCGUAUGAAUAAGGACCGGCUAAUUCCGUGCCAGCAGCCGCGGUAAUACGGAAGGUCCGGGCGUUAUCCGGAUUUAUUGGGUUUAAAGGGUGCGUAGGCCGGAUGUCAAGCCUGCUGUGAAAUGUCCGGGCUCAACCCGGGCCUUGCAGCGCAAACUGGCGUGCUUGAGUCCGCGGAAAGCAGGCGGAAUGCGUGGUGUAGCGGUGAAAUGCUUAGAUAUGACGAAGAACCCCGAUUGCGAAGGCAGCUUGCUGGAGCGGAACUGACGCUGAUGCUCGAAAGCGCGGGGAUCGAACAGGAUUAGAUACCCGGGUAGUC
rnacentral:rRNA from 1 species